GAUGAACGCUAGCGGCAGGCCUAAUACAUGCAAGUCGAGGGGUAGAAGAGGCUUGCUUCUUUGAGACCGGCGCACGGGUGCGUAACGCGUAUGCAACCUACCUUCAUCUGGGGGAUAGCCCGGAGAAAUCCGGAUUAAUACCGCAUAAAAUCACAGGAUGGCAUUAUCCAAUGAUCAAACAUUUAUGGGAUGGAGAUGGGCAUGCGCGUCAUUAGCUAGUUGGCGGGGUAACGGCCCACCAAGGCGACGAUGACUAGGGGAUCUGAGAGGAUGGCCCCCCACACUGGUACUGAGACACGGACCAGACUCCUACGGGAGGCAGCAGUAAGGAAUAUUGGUCAAUGGAGGCAACUCUGAACCAGCCAUGCCGCGUGCAGGAAGACUGCCCUAUGGGUUGUAAACUGCUUUUAUUCGGGAAUAAACCUUAUUACGUGUAAUAAGCUGAAUGUACCGAAGGAAUAAGGAUCGGCUAACUCCGUGCCAGCCGCCGCUGUAA
rnacentral:rRNA from 1 species